UCUGCCACCGAAUACAUUAGCAUGGGAUAAUGGAAUAGGACCCUGUCCUCCUAUUUUCAGUUGGUUUUGGCAGCGCGAGGACUAGGGUAAUGAUUAAUAGGGAUAGUUGGGGGCAUUAAUAUUUAAUUGUCAGAGGUGAAAUUCUUGGAUUUAUGAAAGAUUAACUUCUGCGAAAGCAUCUGCCAAGGAUGUUUUCAUUAAUCAAGAACGAAAGUUAGGGGAUCGAAGACGAUCAGAUACCGUCGUAGUCUUAACCAUAAACGAUGCCGACCAGCGAUUAGGAGACGUUGAAUACAAAACACCACCAUCGGCGCGGUCGUCCUUGGCGUCUCGGUCCUUCACGGGGCCGGGGCGCGGGGGCGGCUUAGCCCGGUGGCACCGGUGAAUGACUCCCCUA
rnacentral:rRNA from 1 species